CGCGAGUGGCUCAUUAUAACAGCUAUAAUUUACUUGAUCUUGACACAAUCCUACUUGGAUAACUGUGGUAAUUCUAGAGCUAAUACAUGCAUUAAAGCUCUGACCUCACGGGAAGAGUGCAUUUAUUAGAACAAAACCAAGCGGCUUCGGCUGUUUCUGGUUGACUCAUAGUAACUGAGCUGAUCGCACGGUCUUGCACCGGCGACGUGUCUUUCAAGUAUCUGCCGUAUCAACUUUCGAUGGUAGUGUAUCUGACUACCAUGGUGAUCACGCGUAACGGAGAAUAAGGGUUCGGCUCCGGAGAGUUCGCCUGAGAAAUCGCGAACACAUCUAAGGAAGGCAGCAGGCGCGAAAAUUACCCACUCUCAGCACGAGGAGGUAGUGACGAAAAAUAACGAGACCGUUCUCUUAUGAGGCCGGUCAUCGGAAUGGGUACAAUUUAAACCCUUUAACGAGUAUCUAUGAGAGGGCAAGUCUGGUGCCAGCAGCCGCGGUAAUUCCAGCU
rnacentral:rRNA from 1 species